GGUGCAAGCGGGUUUGUCAUUCAGUCUGACUUCCAACUUGCAGAUCCUGCUGAUUAUUUUGGUCUUAAAAAUUUUUCACGUUAACAGCACAUAUUUCAGCUCAACUGCAACACACAGUCCUAUAAAGUGCUGGAAACGAGUGUCCCGCGACUCACCUAAUAAGAGAUGUGUUGUGAUUGUAAAGCAGAGCUCUGGACGUGUGGACAGACAGUGACUGUAAUGAUGGACAUCUGGUCAUGAACAGUCUGGACAAAAUCAUAACCGCUGCUGGUCACGGUGCCGGAAGCUCCAGGGGGAGAGUGUACUGGUAUCCCCCUUCUUCAGGCGCACCUUCACACACACUCCAGCAUUCACUUAUAUCGCAGAGACCUGGCUGGGAUUGAACCAGCAACCUCUGAACCCGUGAGGCAGCGCUCUUACCUGUGAGCCACAGGUCUCUUGGUGGAGUGUGUGAAGUAACUUAUAUUUGACUGUUGACCUGUGUGUUCCCAAUAAAGAUGUUAAAGAAA